rnacentral:rRNA from 1 species
AUCUAUGGCCACACCACCCUGUAUGCUCCCGAUCUCAUAUGAUCUCAGAAACUAAGCAGGGUCGGCCUGGUUAGUACUUGGAUAGGAGACCGCAUGGGAAUACCGGGUGCUGUAGGCU